rnacentral:rRNA from 1 species
UACGAAGGGGGCUAGCGUUGUUCGGAAUUACUGGGCGUAAAGCGCACGUAGGCGGAUAUUUAAGUCAGGGGUGAAAUCCCAGAGCUCAACUCUGGAACUGCCUUUGAUACUGGGUAUCUCGAGUAUGGAAGAGGUGAGUGGAAUUCCGAGUGUAGUGGUGAAAUGCGUAGAGAUCCGGAGGAACACCAGUGGCGAAGGCGACACGCUGGGCCGUACCUGACACUGAUGCGCGGACAAGCAUGGGGAGCAACAGG